UCUCCCUUCCAAGCACUAACCAGGCCCGACCCUGCUUAGCUUCCCAGACCAGAUGAGAUUGGGCAUGUUCAGGGUGGUAUGGCCAUAGAC
rnacentral:sRNA from 1 species